AGUGAACGCUGGCGGCAGGCCUAAUACAUGCAAGUCGAGCGGUAAGGCCCUUCGGGGUACACGAGCGGCGGACGGCUGAGUAACACGUAGGAACGUACCCCAAACUGAGGGAUAAGCACCAGAAAUGGUGUCUAAUACCGCAUGUGAUCUUCGGAUUAAAGCUUCGGCGGUUUGGGAACGGCCUGCGCAUGAUUAGCUUGUUGGUGAGGUAAUUGCUCACCAAGGCGACGAUCAUUAGCUGGUCUGAGAGGAUGACCAGCCAGACUGGAACUGAGAACGGUCCAGACUCCUACGGGAGGCAGCAGUAGGGAAUUUUCCACAAUGGGCGAAAGCCUGAUGGAGCAACGCCGCGUGCAGGAUGAAUGUCUUCGGAUUGUAAACUGCUUUUAUAUGUGACGAUAAUGACGGUAGCAUAUGAAUAAGGAUCGGCUAACU
rnacentral:rRNA from 1 species